AUACUGUUUUCAUGGAAGUGAAUAAGUCUCACAAGAUCUGAUGGUUUUAUAAGAGGAAACCCCUUUUGCUUGGCUCCAAUUCUUCUCCAUGCUUCCCCAUGUAAGAUGUGCCUUUCACCUUCUGCCAUGAUUAUGAGGCCUCCCGAGCCACGUGGAACUGGUCUUCAUUACUCCAGCCAAAAAAAUAGUAAUGAAAAUGGAAACACUUCAAGGUUUCUUUGAAGACUAGAAAUAAGUUGGUGAAGGAUAUGGCAUAUAACAGAUGAGAUCACUGAAACUGGAAGUGGAUGGAUAGCUCUCCUAUGGAGGAGGGUCACACAUUUAAGAGUGAAAACAUGAACCCAGGCGGGUAGAAGCCAUCACUUGCUUGCUUAAUCAUCAUGCUGUUUACCCUCUCCCUGGUCAACUAUUUAGCAUAAGUGAAUAUGGAUAAAAUUGCCCAGAUGAACUGUUGCUCACUACAUAUUGCAUUUGUAGGUUAGAGUAAAUAACAUCUGAUAGAAAGUGUCAUUACAAUUAAAAAAAAAAAGAGAGAGAGCUUCAGAUGCCCAGUGUUGUACCCAAGCUAAAGAUGAAGGAUGGCAUUUGGAAAGGGCAUAUCACAGGGACUGCAGAGCCUGGGCAUGGAGCGAUGACUCAACACUGAGUCCCUGGUUGCUACCCACAGUCUGGAUGGCUUGCUGGUAGCCUGGGAAGCGAGGGUGGAGGGGUCAGUGGCUUUGUGUUGGAAAUUGUGGAGCAGAGAAGAAACAACUAUUGCAAAAGUUUCCUGCAACCACAGAGAACGUGUCCAGAGUGAUUUAUUGCAACUGGAGUUUCAUUAUUUCCUUCUGUCUAGGGGAUUCUGUGUGUAGGUUUCUGCUGACCUCCUUCCCCAGGAAGCGAGAACAGAAUGUGACCUCUCCUUGUUCUUUAUUGAGUCCAAGUGCUCAAAUGCACCUUCAGGUCAGACGCAAACCCAUGAGGGAUCUACUUUGAGCCCACAAUCAUGGAAUUCUGAUGUGCUACAAGGUGGCAGUAAAAAUGGAAACCAUCAUUCCUGAUAUUUUAAGCCAGUACCAUGUUCCAGUCAUACUAUAUCACCGAAUCUAAAAUGACUUCAAUAACUUUCACUUUUGUUUCAUGUACCACUAAGAAAAAAAACCCUCCAUCCAAUAACCUAGGAUAUACCCUCAAUUGUAAGUCACAUUCCAAUUCCAGAGAUGAUAAAAUGUGGUAAACAUGUGUCUGAA
rnacentral:lncRNA from 1 species